CUGGAGAAAAGGAGGCUGAGGGGAGACCUUAUCGCUCUCUACAACUACCUGAAAGAACGUUGUAGUGAGGUGGCUGCUGGUCUCUUAUGUCA